CCCCGGUCUGAAAGAAGGAGAAAAGGGCCAUCAUUGGAGGGGCUUUCACAGCCAAAACGUGGACCAGCCCGGCAAGGUCAAAGGUUCGAGACCGCGGGAGACCAAGGUCUCCAGAUGGCUGAAACAUGAAUUGAAACAUCCUGGUUUUCUUGGGAAUAAACAAUCUCUGCUUAAGUCAGAAGUGAAAAGUUAUGAUUUUCCACAUAUUUGGAUCAGACUCAUGCUAUUCCAUAAAUGCAAAUAAUCAGCUUGGAAGAAGAGGGACUCUUAAAAAACAUUAGGGAUUUGAACACUAUAACCUGCCAUACAAAAGACGAAGGAGAGUUCUUCCAUGUAAGAAUUUCAAGACUGGAACAAAGUCGUAUUUUCUAAAUGUUUAAGGAACUAGAUUUCCAGGCCUUUCAAACAAUGGGAAUCCCUAGAUAAAUAUCUAAUCCAUUAGAAAGAUGCAAAUAGUUUACUGUAAGGCCACUGCACGGUGAGAUGUGCAUUCAUAUCUAUGGCUCCUGAUUGGCUAUUUCCUUCAGUAAAUCAAUGAAUAAUGUAAAACCUGAUUGCUGUAAAGUGGUGGAUUUUUUUAUUCCCUUCCCCCAUUCCUCCAUGACUCAAUAUAUUAAAGAAGUCUUACUCUCUCGAAAA